rnacentral:rRNA from 1 species
UACGUAGGUGGCAAGCGUUGUCCGGAUUUACUGGGCGUAAAGAGCGCGCAGGCGGUCGUGCAAGUCGCGUGUGAAAGCCCCCGGCUCAACUGGGGAGGGUCACGCGAUACUGCUCGACUCGAAGGCAGGAGAGGGAAGUGGAAUUCCCGGUGUAGUGGUGAAAUGCGUAGAGAUGUGGAGGAACACCGAUGGCGAAGGCAGCCCCCUGGGUCAAAACUGACGCUCAUGCACGAAAGCGUGGGGAGCAAACAGG